GAGCGGGUGAAGGCCGAGCUGUGGGAUUUUUUUAGAUGCGAGCCGGGCUUAGAGGCUAGGGCAGCUGCUGUCGUCGACAAAGCUGCCAAGAAGCUUGUUAAGGAUAUGCACUACGAGGCGCGCGUCCAGGCCGUGAUCAAAUUUCACGCGGAACACCUUGGAGCGAAGGUGACAAAAAAAGACGCUAUGACCAUAUCUCUGACCCAGGAGCAGUACCUGCAGGUGCCUCCGGGGUGGUGCGCAGGAGACCUUCCGUGCUGGACGGUGAUCGUGGAGAAGUGGUGCGCUCCCGAGUGGGAGGAGAGUCACAAUGCUUGCCGGGAAAGGCGAUUGUUGAUGCCUGGCGCUCCACACCAUCAAGGCAACCUCAGCCUGACUAGUUUC